rnacentral:snRNA from 1 species
AUGCUUGCUCCAGCAGCACAUAUACUAAGAUUAGCAGGUCCCUGUGCAAGGAUGACACGCAAAUUCGUGCAGCCUUCCAGAUUUUU